rnacentral:rRNA from 1 species
UACAGAGGGUGCGAGCGUUAAUCGGAAUUACUGGGCGUAAAGCGCGCGUAGGCGGCUUUUCAAGCCGAUUGUGAAAUCCCCGGGCUUAACCUGGGAACUGCAGUCGAGACUGUCUAGCUAGAGUAUGGGAGAGGGAAGUGGAAUUUCAGGUGUAGCGGUGAAAUGCGUAGAUAUCUGAAGGAACAUCAGUGGCGAAAGCGACUUCCUGGACCAAUACUGACGCUCAUGUGCGAAAGCGUGGGGAGCAAAC